rnacentral:rRNA from 1 species
UACGUAGGUGACAAGCGUUGUCCGGAUUUACUGGGCGUAAAGAGCGCGCAGGCGGUCGUUCAAGUCGGGUGUGAAAGCCCCCGGCUCAACUGGGGAGGGUCACUCGAUACUGAUCGACUCGAAGGCAGGAGAGGGAAGUGGAAUUCCCGGUGUAGUGGUGAAAUGCGUAGAUAUCAAGAGGAACACCUGAGGUGAAGGCGGGUUGCUGGGCCAACACUGACGCUGAUGCGCGAAAGCCAGGGGAGCAAACGGG